AUGGAAUGGGUGUGAGAAAGGAAGGGGACGUGGAUUUUGAGGCUGGAAUCACAGCCAUUUAUCUGAAAGCUCAGCCUGAAGAAGAGUGGAGGGAUCCCACAUCAUGAACUGCACCACUGCUGCAAUAUAUGUCAUGUACUGCCUGGAAGGUUUAUGGAGCGAAGGCCAACAGGACGGCUCCCAUUGGCUUUGUUGGGGCAGACACCCAGCUACUCCUGGUUUAUAACUCCGCAACGAGGAAUCGCAUCCAGACAGCAUGCAGUGACGCAUCAGAAGGAUGGCGCAGAUGAAGGGCGAAUAUUGAAUUCGGCGGUUAGCCUAAUGUGCACCUGUUGAGGAGCUGGUCUGGCAAGAUGUGCACGGGUGGCUGGCAAGCUGUCAAAGCCCAAGGUUUGCUCCUUUCCCAUGCACAGAAUUAAAGAAUCAUAUAGUUUGGAGAAGACCUUUCAGACCAAAGAUCAUCUCAUCCAACCAUCAGCUUAUUUGGACUCCAUAGGUCUCCAAAGGGACUCUAGCCAUCAACUUGGGUUGGACUCAAUAGGUCUCCAGAGGGACUCCAGCCAUCAACUUGGGUUGGACUCAAUAGGUCUCCAGAGGGACUCCAGCCAUCAACUUGGGUUGGACUCAAUAGGUCUCCAGGGGGACUCCAACCAUCAUCUUGAGUUGGUGGCUGGAAUGGGGGAAAAAAAACACCACAAAAACCCAACAAAAUUGGAUGCUGUGGAGUUGGGUUUUUCACCAAAAUGCCCAGUUUGGUUUGUUUUUUUGUUUGUUUGUUUGUUUGCCUUGUUUUGGCCACCCAAGAGAUGGAGAGCCCAAUUGGUGGUGACUCAACCGAGCUGAUGAUUGAAGUCUCAUUGGAGACCCAUUGAGUCUCAUCACUAAACCAUGUCCACUAGUGCCACAUACACACAUCUCUUAAAUACCUCCAAGGAUGGGGACUCUACCACUUCCCUAGGAAGGCCAUCCCAAUGCUUGAUCACCAUCUCCAUUGGGAAAUCCCUCCUAAUAAUCCAAUCUUACCCAGACGACGCAUGCUCAGCGUAGCACGGUGUGGCUCCACAGCCGUCCCCUGGAGCACCGUAACCGAGCCGGCUGCCGGCCGAGCCACGAGGAAAGGGUGGGGUGGCUGUGGACGUGUGUGCCAAAGUGUCGCCGUGCUGCUCACAGCCGACGUGCGGGACCGACGCAGCCGAGCGUGGAUAACUCCUGAGGUGCUGCAGUUGCUCACGUCCCUCCGGAGAGAGCAGCGAAUGCAAUGGGUCCCGGUUGGGGAGGGGGCUGAAAGGUGGGCAGGCAUCGAGUUACACAAAGGCAGCUGAACGCAGGGGGGGGUGAGGGGGAUGAUUGGCUUUGGGUCCCCCUCUUUUAUUUGUCGUCUUUCACUCUUCCCCCCCCCCUUCACCCCCCCCUCCUGCCUUUGUGUUUCUUUGUGAGGUUGGACAAAAAUCAUAACACCUUGGGAAUAGGCGAACGGCGGUACAAUGGAGCGUACUGUUCGAUUUAAUGGGAUCUCUUGAAUGGGAACGGCACGGAGGGGCUGCUUUGCUCAGGACUAACAGUGCCCUUUUUCCCCCCCUUCCUUACAUGUAUCAGACGGAAAACAAAGGUUUGGAACAGGCAUCCUUCUGCUUUGGGGCAGCAUUUAUCCUGAAGGGGAGGGGAAGGAGGAAAUCCUUCCAGCAGGUUAUGCUGAGCUUUUAGAAAUGCUGAGUCAGACCUUUAUAAUUACAAUAUUUAUCUUUAUUAUUAUUUUGAGGGGCUU